UUAUCCGGGCUACACGCGGGCUACAAUGGUCAGGACAAUGGGGUAUCGACAACCGACGAAGGUGGAGGCAAUCUCUUAAACCUGUCCUUAGUUCGGAUUGUGGGCUGCAACUCGCCCACAUGAAGCUGGAAUCUGUAGUAAUCGCGUCUCAAAAUAGGCGCGGUGAAUAUGUCCCUGCUCCUU
rnacentral:rRNA from 1 species